rnacentral:rRNA from 1 species
GAAGGUAAUAAUCCUGUAGUCGAAAAUGUUGUCUCUCUUGAGUGGAUCCUGAGUACGACGGAGCACGUGAAAUUCCGUCGGAAUCUGGGAGGACCAUCUCCUAAGGCUAAAUACUCUCUAGUGACCGAUAGUGAACCAGUACCGUGAGGGAAAGGUGAAAAGCACCCCGGAAGGGGAGUGAAAUAGAACCUGAAACCGUGUGCUUACAAGUAGUCAGAGCCCGUUAAUGGGUGAUGGCGUGCCUUUUGUAGAAUGAACCGGCGAGUUACGAUUUGAUGCAAGGUUAAGCAGUAAAUGUGGAGCCGUAGCGAAAGCGAGUCUGAAUAGGGCGUUUAGUAUUUGGUCGUAGACCCGAAACCAGGUGAUCUACCCUUGGUCAGGUUGAAGUUCAGGUAACACUGAAUGGAGGACCGAACCGACUUACGUUGAAAAGUGAGCGGAUGAACUGAGGGUAGCGGAGAAAUUCCAAUCGAACCUGGAGAUAGCUGGUUCUCUCCGAAAUAGCUUUAGGGCUAGCCUCAAGUGAUGAUUAUUGGAGGUAGAGCACUGUUUGGACGAGGGGCCCCUCUCGGGUUACCGAAUUCAGACAAACUCCGAAUGCCAAUUAAUUUAACUUGGGAGUCAGAACAUGGGUGAUAAGGUCCGUGUUCGAAAGGGAAACAGCCCAGACCACCAGCUAAGGUCCCAAAAUAUAUGUUAAGUGGAAAAGGAUGUGGCGUUGCCCAGACAACUAGGAUGUUGGCUUAGAAGCAGCCAUCAUUUAAAGAGUGCGUAAUAGCUCACUAGUCGAGUGACACUGCGCCGAAAAUGUACCGGGGCUAAACAUAUUACCGAAGCUGUGGAUUGUCCUUUGGACAAUGGUAGGAGAGCGUUCUAAGGGCGUUGAAGCAUGAUCGUAAGGACAUGUGGAGCGCUUAGAAGUGAGAAUGCCGGUGUGAGUAGCGAAAGACGGGUGAGAAUCCCGUCCACCGAUUGACUAAGGUUUCCAGAGGAAGGCUCGUCCGCUCUGGGUUAGUCGGGUCCUAAGCUGAGGCCGACAGGCGUAGGCGAUGGAUAACAGGUUGAUAUUCCUGUACCACCUAUAAUCGUUUUA